rnacentral:rRNA from 1 species
UACAGAGGGGGCAAGCGUUGUUCGGAAUUACUGGGCGUAAAGGGCGCGUAGGCGGCCUGUUAAGUCGAACGUGAAAUCCCCGGGCUCAACCCGGGAACUGCGUCCGAUACUGGCAGGCUUGAAUCCGGGAGAGGGAUGUGGAAUUCCAGGUGUAGCGGUGAAAUGCGUAGAUAUCUGGAGGAACACCGGUGGCGAAGGCGACAUCCUGGACCGGUAUUGACGCUGAGGCGCGAAAGCGUGGGGAGCAAACAGG